rnacentral:lncRNA from 1 species
AUAGGAUAUUUUUGUCUCUUGAGUUUCACAACUUGGCAAAUAUUUAUGACUCUAAAGUGUUUUCCUUUGUUUUGUUUUGUUUUGUUUUGCAGCAAGGCAUUAGCCAAAAUUUGUGCAAAAUGGGAUUACAUCCAAGGGAGCCCCAACCUCCAUCACCCCCAUGUCUUCGCUCAUGGCACUGACUCUGACCUCCCAUCCCAAUUUUAACUUUUGCCACCUAACUUGGAAUAUUUACUCCAUUCAAUUAUAGCACUGGCCUGAUAUUUCAAGGCAGAAGAACAGAUUAUGAGACCAACUUGAAACUCAUCAGUUCCCUCUGCAGCACCCAUGGCACAUUCUCCCCUCUCUCCACCCAGCCAUCCUUUCUCCUGUGUCACUUGUUUCACUCAGUUGUACACGUGGUAAGGGAGUGAGGAACAGGGGGCAUUUUAUUCAUUCUGGAAUCUUCUCUUAGUCUCCCCAUCCCAGCCCUAACACAGAUCUACAGUGAAGCCAUUCAAUAAAAGUGUAGUGAAAAACAAACAAAGAAACAGACGGACAAAAAGGAACCAAGUUAAGCCCUUGGUGGUAGACAGGAGUUGACAUUUGUUACUCGCGCCUUUUUUUCAUGCAGAGGAGCAAAGUGAGUGGCUAAAUCGUAAGACAAGAGUGAGCCUCAGAAGAUUAGGGAAGAGAAAUAGAGUUGAAGAAAAUUUCCUGUGAUUCCAAUGCAAAAAGAAUUCAAUAUUAUCCCACAAUGCCCCAUGAGAUACAGAACUGGUGACAGGUGAGUGAGGCCAUGGCACGCUUCCAAGAAAACCCAGCAUUUGAAGCAGACACGGAGAUCGCUCGGCACCAUGUCUAGCCUUUGAUGGCAUUCUCUCGCCAUUUAUGGCUGUUUGCGCACUGGUUCGGGUACUCCAGAAGCAACCAAUGGUUCCGAAACUCAAGAGAAGCAACAAUGACAAAGAAGCAAAGGCUCUAGCAACCCUCAGAGUAGGUACGUCAGCAGAUCCUCAGUCACCAGGAAUUUGUUGUCAUCCAUUGUGGGAGGACGCUUCCCAGAUCACCAGUGGAAUGCCCUGAUCACGAGAGGUUUCUCUCUUUUCCUUCAAGCCUCAGAUAUUUUCAAGAUCCCUUAAUUCAGCAGUGGUGUUGAAGAUGGAAAUCCUUUAUGCCACUUGUGAUCUGUGUAAUCCUGAAGAUACUGUGUAACUUCUUUGAGAUCUCUUUUCUAGCUGUGAAUUGGUGGUAAUAACUGGGAGGUAGUUUAUUUCUAACCCAACAGCCACUUAGUACUUUCUUCUCUACAAACAGAACUUAGAUUUUUGGCUUCAGAUAACUAGCAGAGAUCUCUCAGUCUCAGGGAAGAUCCACGCCCAAUGGACAAAUUCUAACUGACCUAAGAUAGCAGUUAAAAGCAGUUCUCCUUCAGCAGUGAGUGCUCUGGCGUAGGCAUAAAUAACAAAGAUUUCUGACCAAAAAGUGGAAAGCGGAGUCUUAGAGCCUCAGGAGGAGAAAGACAUUUGUCUGUUGCUUCCCACUUGGGCUGCCGGUGGUGGACAUGAUGCCUACCUAACUGGCAGCCAUCUUGAAUCCAUGAGGCGACAGUCACAAGGAUGAAGCCACUGUGCUAAAUAUGACAGGAUGGCUAGAAAGAGCUUGAAGGUAAUGUUGGUAACAUUCUGGAAUUGCUGAAUGAGUCCCUGGAACUCAUCUAUCUAUCUUGAUACUUCCUAUCAUAUGAUGAUUAAUGCUUAAGCUACUCAAGUCAAAUGUUCUCCUACCUGCAACCAGAGGCGUUACUGAUUUUACGAUGUCUGCUUCUUAGAACUUCUCUGAGAAUUAUGGGUAACAUAUGUAAAGCAUCUAGAAAGGGCCUGCCAUUUAGUAAACACGUGCUAAUCAUACAGUUUAGGUUUGUUAUAGUUGUUAAUAUACAGGCCCCCUAGGAAAACAGUGAGGAACUUGUCAAAUAGAAGCUUCCGUUAAGCACGUGUUACAGAGGAAAUUCAUACAUUGCAUCGAACUUUUUUUUUUUCAAAUGUUUAUUUAUUUUUGAGACAGAGAGAGACAGAGCACGAAC